GGGCCCGCACAAGCGGUGGAGUAUGUGGUUUAAUUCGAUGCAACGCGAAGAACCUUACCAGGGUUUGACAUCCUGCGAAUCUCUUGGAAACGAGAGAGUGCCUUCGGGAACGCAGUGACAGGUGGUGCAUGGCUGUCGUCAGCUCGUGUCGUGAGAUGUUGGGUUAAGUCCCGCAACGAGCGCAACCCACGUCUUUAGUUGCCAGCAUUUAGUUGGGCACUCUAGAGAGACUGCCGGUGAUAAACCGGAGGAAGGUGUGGAUGACGUCAAGUCAUCAUGCCCCUUACAUCCUGGGCUACACACGUACUACAAUGGGGCGUACAAAGGGUUGCAAUCCCGCGAGGGGAGCUAA
rnacentral:rRNA from 1 species